rnacentral:rRNA from 1 species
GAGUUUGAUCCUGGCUCAGGACGAACGCUGGCGGCGCGCCUAACACAUGCAAGUCGAACGAGCGAGAGAGAGCUUGCUUUCUUGAGCGAGUGGCGAACGGGUGAGUAACGCGUGAGGAACCUGCCUCAAAGAGGGGGACAACAGUUGGAAACGACUGCUAAUACCGCAUAAGCCCACGGUGCCGCAUGGCACAGAGGGAAAAGGAGCAAUCCGCUUUGAGAUGGCCUCGCGUCCGAUUAGCUAGUUGGUGAGGUAACGGCCCACCAAGGCGACGAUCGGUAGCCGGACUGAGAGGUUGAACGGCCACAUUGGGACUGAGACACGGCCCAGACUCCUACGGGAGGCAGCAGUGGGGGAUAUUGCGCAAUGGGGGAAACCCUGACGCAGCAACGCCGCGUGAAGGAUGAAGGUCUUCGAAUUGUAAACUUCUUUUAUUAAGGACGAAGAAAGUGACGGUACCUGAUGAAUAAGCCACGGCUAACUACGUGCCAGCCGCCGCGGUAAUUC